rnacentral:rRNA from 1 species
UACGUAGGGUGCAAGCGUUGUCCGGAAUUAUUGGGCGUAAAGAGCUCGUAGGCGGUUUGUCGCGUCUGCUGUGAAAACCCGAGGCUCAACCUCGGGCCUGCAGUGGGUACGGGCAGACUAGAGUGCGGUAGGGGAGAUUGGAAUUCCUGGUGUAGCGGUAGAAUGCGCAGAUAUCAGGAGGAACACCGAUGGCGAAGGCAGAUCUCUGGGCCGUAACUGACGCUGAGGAGCGAAAGCAUGGGGAGCGAACAGG